UGUGACCUCAAAUCAGGUAGGACUACCCGCUGAACUUAAGCAUAUCAAUAAGCGGAGGAAAAGAAACUAACAAGGAUUCCCCUAGUAACUGCGAGUGAAGCGGGAAAAGCUCAAAUUUAAAAUC
rnacentral:rRNA from 1 species